CACUCUCACCUGUUACUUCUCCUACAAGAGCAGUUAGAGACCAGAGUUCCACUGCUCUUGACACAGAUGAGAGCUCUUCCACAUAUGAGGCACGGUUCUGCUUCAUAAGGCAGACUGAGAAAAACUGUAACUUAACAAGUUUCUUAGAGAGCAAGAACACAGCUCAGAAGAGUUUAUUAAGAGACUGGACCUCAUUUUUCUGUGGACACUGGCAACCCUAAAGGACACCUACUGUCUAUCUUUAACACAAUGAAGAUUCAAGAUCAGAAGCUGGAUGAAAGAUUCCAUAUGCAACAUUGCAGUCCUUGGAUACCAAAAAGCACCUUCAUAAUAAAAAAAAAAGUACAAGAUGCUUUUUUCUACAAUUAAUAUUUCACACAAUAAGUUUUUUCAGAUUCAGAUAUUGUGAGUUCUUUUUGCUAAUGGCAAUUAAAACACUAUAAAACUACCCAUGUUCUCAA